AGGAGGAGGGCGUACUGGGUUGUAAACUUCUUUUAUAAGGGAAGAAACCUGCGAUUUUCAUUGCAGCCGACGGUACCUUAUGAAUAAGCACCGGCUAACUCCGUGCCAGCAGCCGCGGUAAUACGGAGGGUGCAAGCGUUAUCCGGAUUUACUGGGUUUAAAGGGUGUGUAGGCGGGCUAUUAAGUCAGUGGUGAAAUGCUCUUGCUUAACGAGAGAACUGCCGUUGAUACUAAUAGUCUUGAAUGUUGUUGAGGUGGGCGGAAUACAUCAUGUAGCGGUGAAAUGCAUAGAUAUGAUGUAGAACACCAAUUGCGAAGGCAGCUCACUAAACAAAGAUUGACGCUGAGGCACGAAAGCGUGGGGAUCAAACAGGAUUAGAUACCCUGGUAGUCCACGCCCUAAACGAUGAUUACUGGACAUACGCGAUAUUACAGUGUGUGUCUGAGCGAAAGCAUUAAGUAAUCCACCUGGGAAGUACGUCCGCAAGGAUGAAACUCAAG
rnacentral:rRNA from 1 species